rnacentral:tRNA from 1 species
GCUUUCGUAGUGUAGUGGUCAGUACACUCGGCCCGUAUUCGAGAGGUCCGUGGUUCGAGUCCCGACGAGGGCA